rnacentral:lncRNA from 1 species
AGGUGAUGGGAGCACACCCCCCAAUGACCCUGCCCCCGCACCUGCAAAAGCCCACCACACUUCAGCACUGUGUGCUCAUCUGCCAGCUGUGAAAUGUCAGAGCGAAAUGUCAACAUCUUGCAGGCCCAAGAGGUGAACUCAAGUCCCUCCUGCAAAAGGGCCAGAGGCCCCGGUGGCCCCAGAGGCGGUCCUUCACCGAGGGACCAGGAAACCAUGCAGUUCCCCCAGGUCUCCACCAAGAGUCUCUCCAAGAAAUGGCGAGUCGCCUGUGGCAGCACGUGCCACCCUGCCUGCACUGAAGCAGACCCUGAAGAACAACUUUGCCAAGCAGCAGAAGAGGCUGCAGGCACUGCAGAACUGGCACCUGCCCCUCUCCCCU